GAAUAUUGGACAAUGGGGGGAACCCUGAUCCAGCCAUGCCGCGUGUGUGAAGAAGGCCUUUUGGUUGUAAAGCACUUUAAGCGAGGAGGAGGCUACUCAAGUUAAUACCUAGAGAUAGUGGACGCUACUCGCAGAAUAAGCCCCGGCUCACUCUGUGCCAGCAGCAGCGGUAAUACAGAGGGUGCAAGCGUUAAUCGGAUUUACUGGGCGUAAAGCGCGCGUAGGUGGCCAAUUAAGUCAAAUGUGAAAUCCCCGAGCUUAACUUGGGAACUGCAUUCGAUACUGGUUGGCUAGAGUAUGGGAGAGGAUGGUAGAAUUCCAGGUGUAGCGGUGAAAUGCGCAGAGAUCUGGAGGAAUACCGAUGGCGAAGGCAGCCAUCUGGACUAAUACUGACACUGAGGUGCGAAAGCAUGGGGAGCAAACA
rnacentral:rRNA from 1 species